GGGGGAAUUUUGGACAAUGGGCGAAAGCCUGAUCCAGCAAUGCCGCGUGUGUGAAGAAGGCCUUCGGGUUGUAAAGCACUUUUGUCCGGAAAGAAAUGGCUCUGGUUAAUACCUGGGGUCGAUGACGGUACCGGAAGAAUAAGGACCGGCUAACUACGUGCCAGCAGCCGCGGUAAUACGUAGGGUCCAAGCGUUAAUCGGAAUUACUGGGCGUAAAGCGUGCGCAGGCGGUUGUGCAAGACCGAUGUGAAAUCCCCGAGCUUAACUUGGGAAUUGCAUUGGUGACUGCACGGCUAGAGUGUGUCAGAGGGGGGUAGAAUUCCACGUGUAGCAGUGAAAUGCGUAGAGAUGUGGAGGAAUACCGAUGGCGAAGGCAGCCCCCUGGGAUAACACUGACGCUCAUGCACGAAAGCGUGGGGAGCAAACAGGAUUAGAUACCCUGGUAGUCCACGCCCUAAACGAUGUCAACUAGUUGUUGGGGAUUCAUUUCCUUAGUAACGUAGCUAACGCGUGAAGUUGACCGCCUGGGGAGUACGGUCGCAAGAUUA
rnacentral:rRNA from 1 species